AUUAACUUUGUUGAACAGAAAAAUCAACACUUCUUACCCAAGGGUCUUCAACAUUUUGAUGAAAAAGGUGAACAAAUGAAGGAUAAGAUACAGAAUAAAAGUACCAUUCUGCUCACUCCUGGAUUCCAAGAUUUCUGAUGAGAAACCUGCUGUUAAUCUUAUUGAAGAUCUACUGCAUGUGAUCAAUAUUACCAUCCCAGCUGACCCAGCUACCGUCUAACAUUGGAACAAAGGGGAAGAAGAAAGAGUGCAGAAGAGGAAGAAGGGAAAUAUCAAGAAGGCGACAACUUCUUUAGCUCUUGACAGACAAGCAUAAGGGAAGGGCUAUUGUAAUUCAUUGUAACGAAUGUACCAAAACCACUGUGUUAGAUUAAAGCAUGAGUGCUGUUUUACUCAAAGCCAAGUAAGUCAUAUUACUAGGAGUAUUCAUCAACGCCCUAAAAUAUAAAAGGUCAUUAACAUUCCAUAAAAUUAUAAACAAAAUCAUCCUUUGUAAAAAAAAAUUUGCUACCAACGUUACAUAAAAGAAGCAAGUCAGGAGUCAGUUCAUAUU